UGACACUUGAACUUAGGAUCUGGGAUUGGCCAAGAUGGAAAUAAGUGGCAGGUUCUACAAAAUUGCAUCAGUGCAACAGGUCUCACAUGGAGGUUUAUUAAAAGAAAGAGAUUAGAUGGUGGAACCUCCAGGAGAAGCCUGUCUGUGAAAGGGGUUUCAAGGAAGAAGAAUUCAAAAUGGAGGUGCUUUGGUUCAAUUAAGCAGGUGUCAGGAGGCCAUCAGACACACCUACCCAGAAGACAGCUCUCAUCGGAAGCACCUCUGACAGCCCCCCAUCCUAACCCCGCCUCCCACUAGCUCCCACCCACCAAGUGAGCCAGAGGCUAAGCCACCCCCAAACCCUUCUUAACAGCUUAACUUCAAACCCCUGACUAAUGGAUGAUGUCAUAGCCAACCCCCUCGAGGUUCAAAGCUAAACCCAGAGACUCCCUUUCAAGGCUACGGGUCAAGUCUAAGAAGACAUACUCGCCUAGACCUCUGUCCUAAAGCUUCUCGCCUCUCCUUCAUCUGAAAGAGCUCCCCCCUCCUCCCGUCUUAUAUUCAAGCCAUCCGCUUGAUUGGUUGCAUGUGAUAAGAGAGUUCAGUACCGCCCCAGAGGGCAGGCAGCCAUGUCCGGACAGCACAAGAAACAGAGCCAGCAACUAAGGAAGUUGCUGUAGAGGUCUCAAGGUCACUCUUGACACCCUCCUUCAGGGCCAGCGGCCUUCUUGUGGCCUGGAAGAAGAGAUAGACAUGCCUGGGUGUCAGCAUGCUUAGGAAGUCUGCACAAGUGGAUUUCAACCAUGACAGAGUAGCAAAGAAGCCUGGACUAUAGAUGGAGGCUACGCUGGGCCUGGAGGACAUUUGCUGUACACAAAUAAGCCCACAGCAUCAAUGAUGGCACUGUUACCAUCAAUAAAGCAGUCAGAGGUGGCUCCCAUCAGCCUUUCCCCCUCACCUGAAUGGUGGCUGCCCUGCCACAAUGAACCAUGA